rnacentral:lncRNA from 1 species
UUCCAGAUUCUACUAACUCUUAGGAGUCAGUAGAGAUCAUUGUUCAGAGCUAUUGUCACCAGCUUUUUCCCGGUUGCAUUUGGAGUCCAGACUUAUUGCACUUGGAAACCUAAGGAAAGUUCUGUUGUUUCUUUCUUACAUGGAAUUACGGUAUAAUUGUGACAUAAAGUUCUAAUGAGUUAACCAGCCAUGUCAAAGCCUGCGAUUCUUGAGGCCGUCUACUGGAAGAAUGCAUUCAUGUGGCGUACAGCUUCCUAAAAGCUGGCUAUGGACUUUUGAUUCCGGUUUACUGGCUCCAAGGAACAAAGAAACAGCAAGUACAGGUGACAGGCAACAGUGGAUGUUAUGUGACUGGCCGGCAGCCACAAGAUGCCCGUUUAAUGGGGUUCAAACUCGAUCACUCCAAAGCUUUUGACACUCGGUGAAUCCGACACAACGUGAAGGAACCACAGGCCGAUAUAAAAUUUCUACAUGGACACCCGUCCAUCCACCAUUAAAUUCCCCCUCUCCAACUACGACAGGAAACCUCGAGGCAACCUCAGCAUUGGAUCUCCGUGAAGGACCGGAUGAGAAUAGAGCACAGAAAUCCACAAGGCUUUCGAGAAAAAUUAGACUUGGUUGCAUUGAACUAGUAGAUCAAAAUGUAAUCUUGCUGACGGCGAGGAAAGCAGCGGGAAGAACAGCUUACCAGCAAUGGAGUAUGCACAAAAAUGCAGCAUUUUUCUGGUGAUUUCAGCUCUUCCCUUUCCCCUUCAGGUCUGAAUGCCGAUAGCCAUCCCCUCCGUAGCAGAGCUGCAGGC